rnacentral:rRNA from 1 species
GGUUUAAUUCGAAGCAACGCGAAGAACCUUACCAAGUCUUGACAUCCCACUGACCGGACAGUAAUGUGUCCUUUCCUUCGGGACAGUGGUGACAGGUGGUGCAUGGUUGUCGUCAGCUCGUGUCGUGAGAUGUUGGGUUAAGUCCCGCAACGAGCGCAACCCCUAUCCUUAGUAGCCAGCAGUAAGAUGGGCACUCUAGGGAGACUGCCAGGGAUAACCUGGAGGAAGGUGGGAUGACGU